rnacentral:rRNA from 1 species
CUCCUACGGGACGCAGCAGUGGGGAAUAUUGCACAAUGGGGGAAACCCUGAUGCAGCGACGCCGCGUGGGUGACGAAGUAUUUCGGUAUGUAAAGCCCUAUCAGCAGGGAAGAAGAUGACAGUACCUGACUAAGAAGCCCCGGCUAACUACGUGCCAGCAGCCGCGGUAAUACGUAGGGGGCAAGCGUUAUCCGGAUUUACUGGGUGUAAAGGGAGCGUAGGUGGCAUGGCAAGCCAGAAGUGAAAGCCCGCGGCCCAACCGCGGGACUGCAUUGGGAACUACCGGGCUGGAGGGCCGGAGAGGG